GGCCCGCGCUGCAGCAGUGCUGGGGCCGGCCGCGGCGGCGCGACGUGAGGAGAUCCGGCGGUUCGCCCCCGCGGGCAAGCGGCAACGACAUCUAGCGACUAGCGGGUGAGGCGGCGAGCGGCAAGUCGACAAGGCAGGGCAGCAAGUGAAGCAAGGUGGCGGCGAACAUAGCAAUGCAUAUCCUGCUCAUGGAGGCUGACAGAAGUGCUCUUGAGGUGGAAAAAGAAAUUAUGUUUGAAAUUUGUCCAACUACUAGCUUCAGCCUUCAGGCAUCCAAACAAAAACAGCAAUGUCUAGGGAAAAAAAGAUUAAGUUCGAGAGGCUGGUGAAAAAGCAAAUCAAUUCAUAUCAAAUCCUUUGGAUAUUGAUGCAACAUUCAUUCUAACAAAGCAGAAAGCACCAUGUAGCAAUAUUUUUGAAUAUAUAUGGUGUCCACCAACUAUAACUCAUUAUUCAAAUUUUUUCCCAUAA